GAACCUUACCUAAGCUUGACAUCCCAAUGACAUCUCCUUAAUCGGAGAGUUCCCUUCGUGGACAUUGGUGCCAGGUGGUGCAUGGUUGUCGUCAGCUCGUGUCGUGAGAUGUUGGGUUAAGUCCCGCAACGAGCGCAACCCUUGUCUUUAGUUGCCAUCAUUAAGUUGGGCACUCUAGAGAGACUGCCAGGGAUAACCUGGAGGAAGGUGGGGAUGACGUCAAAUCAUCAUGCCCCUUAUGCUUAGGGCUACACACGUGCUACAAUGGGUAGUACAGAGGGUUGCCAAGCCGUAAGGUGGAGCUAAUCCCUUAAAGCUACUCUCAGUUCGGAUUGUAGGCUGAAACUCGCCUACAUGAAGCUGGAGUUACUAGUAAUCGCAGAUCAGAAUGCUGCGGUGAAUGCGUUCCCGGGUCUUGUACACACCGCCCGUCACACCACGGGAGUUGGAGACGCCCGAAGCCGAUUAUCUAACCUUUUGGAAGAAGUCGUCGAAGGUGGAAUCAAUAACUGGGGUGAAGUCGUAACAAGGUAGCCGUAUCGGAAGGUGCGGCUGGAUCACCUCCUUUCUAAGGA
rnacentral:rRNA from 1 species